GCGGGGCCUCCGCCCUCUUCCGCUUCCCUGGCGGCUGUGGUUCCCAAGCCUAGAGUCACCGCGGCUCAGACUCCACGGACACUGUGCCCUGGAGGCCUCGCACCCCCUCGGCCAGCGCCUGCUGCCUUCAGACACCGCCCUGCCCACCCCGGGCCAGACAUCCCACCCUCCUCCUGGUGUCUAGGCCCAACCUCAGCUGCCCCAUCGUCCCCGCCAGGUGCUGCAGGGCAGAGGGGGCACAGUGCCAAGGCCUCAUUACAGCUAAUGAGGGCUCAGCUCUGCAGAUGCCAGUGCAAGAUACAGAAGAGGACCCGACCGCCUGCAGCCCCAUCAGGACCUCGGCCCUCAGCUCCCUCCUCCCCGUCUCUGGAGGGGGAACCAGGGCCACAUCCUCGGAAGAGGUUUGGCUCAGGCGCUCCUGGCGCAGAUAACACAGUAAUGCACUUCUCGGCUGCCUUCCCAAGACUCCAAUCCCGGCUGCUUCCACAGGGUCAGAUGAUGGAAUUCUGUGGUUUUCCAUACACGUCAGUCAUUCAGUCAGUCAACAAACAGCACUGCUCUGGCCAGGCUCUGUGGAUACCGAGAUAAACAGGACACCUCUGGGCCUGCCUGGAAUGAGGUCAAGAGCAAGGUCAACUCCUUAGCUCUGCCACCACUGUGUGCCAUGGGGAAGCCAUGUAACCUUUUUGUGCCAAUUUCUUUGUCUGGAUGAUGAUAAUGUACCUACCUAGAGUGGUAAGCACUUCAGAAGUAGCUAUUAUUAUUAUUAUUUUUCUUGCCCUCAAAUAAUGCCAGUCUGGUCGGGGAGACUGACUUGUAGACCGAUGGUCACCAUGCCAGGGGCAGAGCUAGGCACGGUGCACCCUGGGAGGCCAGGGGAGGGGCUGCUCCCUGGCCUGCACUUCACAAACAUUUAUGGAGAAUCACUCUGUGCCAGUCACUGUGCUGGCGACUGGGGACACAGAGAUGAACGGGACACAUUGUCCACUCAUCCUUGCUCCCCUCCGCCCUCCCUUCUCCCUCCUGGGCCUGGUCCCAGAACCCGGCACCGAGGGGGACACUAAGGACAGAACCAACUGUGCAUGGAAAGGCAUGGCCUGGGGGCCGGCAACCAGAACACCUGGGUUCAUGUCCACCACUCACAGGCCACCUGACGUUGGGCACUCCCUGACCUCAGUUUCCCCACUGGAGCAGGAGGGAGUUGGACAAGAAGACCCCUCUGGUCCUGACCCACACUGACAGCUGAUGAAUAUGCUCCACCCCCAUAGCGCCCCAAAGUCCAGUCCCCAGGCCACCCCAGCCUGCUGUCCCACCGAGGCAGUGGGGAGAAGAUGCCUGCCUGGCACUAACUGGCACUGCCCUGCUGAUGAGCUGGCACCAUUUCACGUGGAACAGGGGGCCUGGAUCUGAAGGCAGGGUGUUGGAAGGGGUGGGGGUUCUGGGGGCAAGGCAGAGCCAGCUCCCACAGGCCCUAUUCAUGGCUCUCUCUGGGGAGGGAGAGAGAGCAGGAUAAUUAAGGCCAGGCUUUAUCCAAGUCCCUGACCAAGCCAAUAUCUCACCUUUGAACCAGCAGACCAGGGCUAAUGUCCCUUUGGAAGGAAAACACCAAUGAACCAAACCAUGACCAAGUCUAUGGGCUGGCAUGGGACCUGGGGGUUGGAGGGUAAAUGAGCUGAUUCCCCACCCACCACCCAUGGACACCUGAGGCCUUGCCACCCUGAGGUCUCUUGUGCCCAUCCCUGUCCCAACUGAAAGGAAAACCACCAAGCUCCAAUCUAGCAAGAGGUUGACCUUGAUCUUGGGCUGUGUCCAAGAUGGACCCAGCUUUGGGGUGCGAAUGACAGCAGGACAAGGCAGGUCCUGAGACGAGGGAUAGCAGAGUGAGAGGAUGGACUCCAGCCGGAUAGCCGGGACCCUACGGCGGCUCUGCCACCCGUUAGUGAUGUGAUUUUAUUCAAGCUAUUAGCUCUGUGUGCCUCAGUGCCCUCAACUGUAAAAUGGGAAUGAUGGUACCCACACCUCAUGGUUGUGUUGUGAAAAUUAAAUGAGGUUGUUUAUAUAAA